rnacentral:rRNA from 1 species
AUUUGGCGGACGGGUGAGUAACACGUGGGAACGUGCCCUAAGGUUUGGAAUAUUCCCGGGAAACUGGGAGCAAUACCAAAUGUGACCGCAAGGUGAAAGAUUUAUCGCCUUAGGAUCGGCCCGCGUCGGAUUAGCUAGUUGGUGGGGUAAAAGCCUACCAAGGCGACGAUCCGUAGCUGGUCUGAGAGGACGACCAGCCACACUGGGACUGAGACACGGCCCAGACUCCUACGGGAGGCAGCAGUGGGGAAUCUUGGACAAUGGGCGAAAGCCUGAUCCAGCCAUGCCGCGUGGAUGAUGAAGGCCCUAGGGUUGUAAAAUCCUUUCGUUGGGGACGAUAAUGACGGUACCCAAAGAAGAAGCUCCGGCUAACUUCGUGCCAGCAGCCGCGGUAAUAAU